GUGCUAAAUGGAAAUUAAAUAACUUUUUUUCUAUUAGAAAAUGACAUUAUCUUGGGGAUAUUUCAAUGAAAAAAGUGUUGCCAAGAUCAAAACAUGGCAAACAUGUUACGUUGGCACUUAGUUGGCGCUUAGUUUUAAAGGGACUACAUUACCAAGACUGUAAUAAUGAGUGUUUUUCAGCGUUAGGAAAUUGGUUAUUUUAUCCUGUUUAGACUUCGUACGCAUAAGAUUGCAGAUGAAUAAUUUUCUUGUAAAAAACGUUGGGUCACUAUUUAUUGAAUGUUUGUGGUUGAUACAAAGCCUAAAUCUAAGAUAUUAAAAAAUAAAUGAAAACAAUAACAAAAUA